AUAUUCAGUAAUAUUCAGUUGGUUCAUACACAAUUUCACCAGCAGAUGGGAGACAUUCUUACACAAUGUAGCUUUAAGAGUUUGAAUUUCUAAUGUGGCAACCAG